GUUCUUUCGGUUCGUUUCUACGCAAUGAUAAAAGUAAUGGUUUAGUCUAAAUAAAGAUUAAAAUGAGAGCUAUCUAUCGGUUCAUUCGAUUGUAAUUGGUAUUGGUAUUUAUUCAACGGACUUACAGGGUGUGCGGGCUAAAUUUGACUCCUGGCCUUUGGGUUUAUAUCGCAGGGUUGAGUUGACGUAUCGAAAUGAUUGAUAUGUCAUUCGAUUGCUAAAAGUUGUGCGAACAAGUGUAAAAAAUGUCUAGCUCUGUAAAUAUGUGGAACCCGUCCGAAUUGUACAAGCGCGUAACGUGUGUUAUGAUGGUUCGUGCCGGCCAUACGAAUGCCGAAAUUCGGAAGGCGGCGAUGUGUUCGCUGAACACCGUAAAAACAAUACGGUGGCCAAUGGGCGGCCGUACGUUUGGCAGCAGGAUUCUGCACCAUGCCAUACGGCCGUAAAAACACGCCAAUGGCUCACUGCCAAUUUCGACCGAUACACCAGCACCGACGUUUGGCUACCCAGCUCCCCUGACCUUAAUCCUAUGGAUUACUUUGUGUGGGGCACAGUUGAGCAGGACACCAACAGGGCGUCCUGCAAUACCAAAGCGGAGCUAGUGGCAAGAAUAAAGGCCGUGUUUGUGGCCAUCCCCAGAGACAUGGUUGUCUGGGCUUGCGCGCGGUUCCCAAAGCGGGUGCAGGCGGCCAUCGACGCGGAGGGGGGGUACUUCGAAUAGAAAAUGCGGCAAACAUGAAACUGUCAAAUUUAUCUCGAACACCCUGCAUAGCUAAUUUAACAAUAAAUUCUUCUAUCUAAACUUAAAAAAUAGUGUUAGUUCGCCAGAUUAGUCCAUGCCAAUACAAUUUUGUCUCUAAAUGCCGAAGUGCUGAAGUGAUAAUCGUGAAAGGAGCUGCACUUAUUAAACAUUUUGCCCAUGAGUGUUAGCGGGGCAUUGCUCGCAUAAACAUUGUUCGAGUUGGAAAGACGUAAUGUGUCACGAGCACGAAGGGCUCUUUCCGGUAUUUCAGCAUAUACAUUUAAAUUUUCCAGGAGAUAUGGGCAUCAAUCUCAUUGGCAAGGAUUUUACAACACAAAUGUUUCCUGUGAAACUUGUCCUCUAAAAGCCAGUGGUUGUAAACCCAAUAGGAAACAACGCUCGUGGUAACUAGGCAAAUAAUUAAGGCACAACCAUGGUAGGUUACGGAGAACUAAUCUAGCAAAUCUACGCUGGAUAGACUCUAGUCUAUUGAUCCAAACAACUCUAGAAUUGCCCAAGAUACAGAGUUGAAUUCUAAUAUAGAACGAACCAGCGAACAAUAGAUAACUUUCAUGCACACUGGCCCCUUAAAGUCUGACAUAUUUCGCGUAAUAAAACCUAACAUUCCAUUGGCCUUGUCUAUAACUGCUAAGUAGUGGUCAUUGAAAAUUAAUUUACUAUUAAGUAGGGUGCCAAGGUCAGGAAUGGUGGUUAAACGUUCUAGCAUGUGGUUAUGUAGACUAUACGAAUAUUGCACUGGGUCUUUUUUACGAUGGAAGCUCACAACACUAUUACACUCAUAACAAUUGAUCUUGCACCAAUUACAGAAGAUAUUUAGCGAAUUUUGCAACGAUACACAUUCUCUAACGCUUUUUAUCACGGAAUAAAUGUUCACAUCAUCAGUAUAUAAAACAAACAAAUGUGUAGGCAGAACGGUUCAUUCGAUUGUGAGUCGAUAAGUUGAUUGUUUUCCUUUCUUACUUUUCGCUUCGUGUAAGCUUAGUAUUAGUAGGUUAACCCGGGCGUAAGUAUUAUUGUUAGCACAUUAUAACGCCGUACAACAAAAAAGUAACCCUGGCACUCGUUACAGUUGCUGGAAUAUUGCGUAAUUACAACUUAUUUUCAAUCAUUAUUUAUAUUGCUUUACAGAAUUUAAGGAAAAAACACUGUAAAACGACACAAGAGGCAAGGAGAUUCUCAUGCAGCUGGCGACAAAGAUGGAUUUCUACAAGAGUUUCCACAUAAAGUUGCAGUAACAACUACUCCUGAAGGACGUGGUUGCCUAGGGGUAUUGCUUACUGAAAAAUUUGUCGGCGGAUCAGCUCACUGUCUACGCUCCAGCAUUUCUGUAGCAGACUAUGGAGAAAAAAUUGAUGACUUUAUACGAAUUAUUCACAGUUUUUACAAUGCACGUACAAAAUAUUAUGAUGUUGGAUUAUUGAUGCUUGCAGCAAAUGUCAACAUACAAAGAACUGUUGUACUUGGCUGUUUGUGGAUGGAUGAUAAUAUAAGCAUCGCAAAUGUUAAAAUCGUUGGAUCAAAUGAGUUUUUUGACACAAAAUCUAUAACGCAAACCACGAGAAUUACACUGCAAAAUGCCGAAAAAUGUCAACCAUACACCCAAUAUAUUGAGAGACUUGUUGGAUACUCCGUUAUCGAUCAACAUAUUUGUGCAUUUUACGAAUUCGAAGAAUACUGGCGACUGAGAGAUGGUAUAAUGUACCUGGAUUUGAUUUAUGAUAACCACAUCGUUCCAUUUGUGAUUGGAAGUGCCUCAUUUGUCCCGAACGGUGGUUUACAUAGACUACAGGGAUUCACCCAAUUGUUCAAAUUUGGUGACUGGAUAGCCGAAACCAUGCGCGAGAGGGGAGGGGUAGAUUUAUCGUUUAACCCAUUGAUUUGUGCCAAGCGCCAUUUAGAAUAUCGACGUCAAAUUAACAACACAUCACUUUAUGGUCCAAUCAUUACUGUUGACUCAUUACGGUAUCCAUUCACAGCCACCCCGAUCCAACUCACACAAAGAUUUGUGUAGGAGUAUUGAUAAGCAAAGAUUCCGUGAUCACAUUGGCACAGUGUGGAGCAAUUUAAUGUCUUAUAUUUCCAGAGUUGUUUUAGCCGAUGGGUCAUUCAUUGCGAUCCGAGAUAUCAUUAUUCAUCCCGACUACUCGGACGAUUCUCUCUACAGUAAUAUAGCCAUUUUAAAACUUGUCUCGGAAGCAUCUGUUACUCCUAUUGAAAUAGCACCAUAUUACUCAAAACAUGAUAAAAUAACAUUAUACGCUAGUGUGAUCAAUGGCGACCAAUCAAAAAAUAACAAGUUCUUUGCCGUCUAUGGACUUAACGUGCGGUUCAGUUACGAAUGCAACCCGUCGGAAGAGCAUCAUUCUCGACUUUUGAAAGGAUUGCAUCCUGAACAUAUGUGUCUACAGAACAAUCAUACGCUUGUUCCGGGUAGCUGCGAGGCACACCCAGGUUCAGCUGUAUAUUGGUAUCAUAAUGAUAAAAAAUACUUGCUGGGUUUGUACAUGCAUGGGGAAAACUGUGCCGUUGGAGAUCAAGCGCUCGGACUGUAUGUGUAUGCAUACAAUGCCUGGGUCCACUCAGUUCUAGAUACACCAUUGCAAAAAUCUCACGACUAAGUUUGUCCAAUUUGACGUAAACAUAUAAACCAUAUAAUCUGUCCCAAUAUAUCCAAAAGUGGAGGAAAAAGUUUUCCCAUAUUUGACUGCAGUAGCAGAGCAAUUGUGUUCUGCCCUCGAAAUUUCGAAUCCCAGAAAGAAGAUAAUUAUGCAAGUCAAUAAAAAUUCGGUGUUAACUAAAAAUAGUAAUCAAACAUUCUUGAUCGAUUUAACGACAACACUUCACUUGAAGUGUGACGCAACAAGAGAAACGAAUUCGCGGUUCGGAACAGCAUGAAUCCGAUUUACUAUUUCGUUUCCCAAAUAAAACUGCAACGUUGAUAGAAGGAUUUUCAUUUUAAUAUCUGAGGUAUCUCACUCAAAUUAUUUGGUUAUUAAUUCAAAUACAGAUCAAUCGCAUUCGUAAAGAGGAUGAUAUGCUCUUCAAAACAAGAGUGAUACGGUCUCUUUUAUUAAACCCUCUAUCUCUAUUCAUUUUUCAGCAUCGUUAUACAUCGCCUACCACAACUAUAUGGACAGUCGUUUUUCGUAAUUUGCGGAAAAUCCAUAAGUGAUAGAUAAAAGCAGUUAAUGUAUAUGUUGUGCAGAAUACUAUUUCACAUCUUUGCAUA